UAUCAGUCUCACUUUCUUGUUG
rnacentral:miRNA from 1 species